rnacentral:rRNA from 1 species
ACUCCUACGGGAGGCAGCAGUGAGGAAUAUUGGACAAUGGACGCAAGUCUGAUCCAGCCAUGCCGCGUGCAGGAAGAAUGCCCUAUGGGUUGUAAACUGCUUUUAUUUGGGAAUAAACCCCUUCUCGUGAGGAGGGCUGAAGGUACCAAACGAAUAAGCACCGGCUAACUCCGUGCCAGCAGCCGCGGUAAUACGGAGGGGUGCAAGCGUUAUCCGGAAUCAUUGGGUUUAAAGGGUCCGCAGGCGGACGUAUAAGUCAGUGGUGAAAGCCUACAGCUUAACUGUAGAACUGCCAUUGAUACUGUAUGUCUUGAAUUCGGUCGGAGUGGGCGGAAUGUGUCAUGUAGCGGUGAAAUGCAUAGAUAUGACACAGAACACCGAUAGCGAAGGCAGCUCACUAGGCCUGAAUUGACGCUCAGGGACGAAAGCGUGGGGAGCGAACAGGAUUAGAUACCCUGGUAGACUGUCA